rnacentral:rRNA from 1 species
GAUGAACGCUGGCGGCGUGCCUAAUACAUGCAAGUCGAGCGAACAGACGAGGAGCUUGCUCCUCUGACGUUAGCGGCGGACGGGUGAGUAACACGUGGAUAACCUACCUAUAAGACUGGGAUAACUUCGGGAAACCGGAGCUAAUACCGGAUAAUAUAUUGAACCGCAUGGUUCAAUAGUGAAAGACGGUUUUGCUGUCACUUAUAGAUGGAUCCGCGCCGCAUUAGCUAGUUGGUAAGGUAACGGCUUACCAAGGCAACGAUGCGUAGCCGACCUGAGAGGGGGAUCGGCCACACUGGAACUGAGACACGGUCCAGACUCCUACGGGAGGCAGCAGUAGGGAAUCUUCCGCAAUGGGCGAAAGCCUGGCGGAGCAACGCCGCGUGAGUGAUGAAGGUCUUCGGAUCGUAAAACUCUGUUAUUAGGGAAGAACAAAUGUGUAAGUAACUAUGCACGUCUUGACGGUACCUAAUCAGAAAGCCACGGCUAACUACGUG